GUGGGGAAUAUUGGUCAAUGGGGGCAACCCUGAUGGAGCAACACCGCGUGCUGGAUGAAGGCCUUCGGGUCGUAAACAGCUUUUGUAUACGAAGAAUAUGACGGUAAUAUACGAAUAAGGGUCGGCUAACUACGUGCCAGCAGCCGCGGUCAUACGUAGGACCCAAGCGUUAUCCGGAGUGACUGGGCGUAAAGAGUUGCGUAGGCGGCUUAUUAAGCGAGUAGUGAAAUCUGGUGGCUCAACCAUCAACACAUUGCUCGAACUGAUAGGCUUGAGAAUGGUAGAGGUAGUUGGAAUUUCUUGUGUAGGAGUGAAAUCCGUAGAUAUAAGAAGGAACACCAAUGGCGUAGGCAGACUACUGGACCAUUUCUGACGCUGAGGCACGAAAGCGUGGGGAGCGAACCGGAUUAGAAACCCGGGUAGUCC
rnacentral:rRNA from 1 species